rnacentral:rRNA from 1 species
GAUGAACGCUGGCGGCGUGCCUAAUACAUGCAAGUCGAGCGAACGGACGAGAAGCUUGCUUCUCUGAUGUUAGCGGCGGACGGGUGAGUAACACGUGGAUAACCUACCUAUAAGACUGGGAUAACUUCGGGAAACCGUAGCUAAUACCGGAUAAUAUUUUGAACCGCAUGGUUCAAAAGUGAAAGACGGUCUUGCUGUCACUUAUAGAUGGAUCCGCGCUGCAUUAGCUAGUUGGUAAGGUAACGGCUUACCAAGGCAACGAUGCAUAGCCGACCUGAGAGGGUGAUCGGCCACACUGGAACUGAGACACGGUCCAGCCUCCUACGGGAGGCAGCAGUGGGAAAUCUUCCGCAAUGGGCGAAAGCCUGACGGAGCAACGCCGCGUGAGUGAUGAAGGUCUUCGGUUCGUAAAACUCUGUUAUUAGGGAAGAACAUAUGUGUAAGUAACUGUGCACAUCUUGACGGUACCUAAUCAGAAAGCCACGGCUAACUACGU